UACGGAGGGGGCUAGCGUUGUUCGGAAUUACUGGGCGUAAAGCGCACGUAGGCGGCUUUGUAAGUUAGAGGUGAAAGCCCGGGGCUCAACUCCGGAAUUGCCUUUAAGACUGCAUCGCUCGAAUCCAGGAGAGGUGAGUGGAAUUCCGAGUGUAGAGGUGAAAUUCGUAGAUAUUCGGAAGAACACCAGUGGCGAAGGCGGCUCACUGGACUGGUAUUGACGCUGAGGUGCGAAAGCGUGGGGAGCAAACAGG
rnacentral:rRNA from 1 species